GAAAUGACGUGGAAAAGGAGUAGUAGCAAAGUUUCAUGUUUAAGAGAGGCAGCGGUUGGUGUAAGCUGCUCUUGAUCUUUGUGAACUCGCCUUGGAUGUCGCAAAAGUGAACGUAAAUGGUAGCUUUUGCCGGUGCAGUCGCCGUUAUUGACCUCGAGUGAACGUUUUUACGAAACGUUAAUUUGGGUGGUACCGCGGGAAUCAAGCCUCUCGUCCCAUAU
rnacentral:ncRNA from 1 species